GACGAACGCUGGCGGCGUGCUUAACACAUGCAAGUCGAACGAAGUGGCGAACGGGUGAGUAACGCGUAAUCAACCUGCCCUUCAGAGGGGGACAACAGUUGGAAACGACUGCUAAUACCGCAUUCUGACGGAGGGGAUUGCGUCUGCUUAGCUAGUUGGAGGGGUAACGGCCCACCAAGGCGAUGCUCAGUAGCCGGUCUUAGAGGAUGAACGGCCACAUUGGGACGGAGGCACGGCCCAGACUCCUACGGGAGGCAGCAGUGGGGAAUCUGCCGCAAUGGAAGAAAGUCUGACGGGGCAACGCCGCGGGAGUGAUGACGGCCUUCGGGUUGUAAAGCUCUGUUAAUCGGGACGCGGUACCGGAAUAGAAAGCCACGGCUAACUACGUGCCAGCAGCCGCGGUAAUUC
rnacentral:rRNA from 1 species